GUGCCUUAAACUAAUGAGUAAGGAAAAUAUAGAGCUUUGGUGACGCUUAGCUAUGCUAAUUAUAUAAGCGACCAUAUUUUUGAAGGGAUAAAGGUCGUCCCAUAGCAGCGUGAACUACUUUUUCGCGCAGCUGGGUGAAGCGAUCUAUCCC
rnacentral:snRNA from 1 species